rnacentral:lncRNA from 11 species
GCAGGCGCAGCAGCGAAUGGCGGAGAGAGUAGGCGGGGCUAAGAGCCAAUGGGGAAAGUCGCCUGCGGGGAAGGCGGUGGCUGGUUCUACCUUCAAGUGCUGAAUUGGCGCCGAAGGCUGACAGAAGAUGAGAGAGGCAUUGAAAACGACCAGAAGUGGAACAACAGUAAAGAAGAAGCGCAGAAAAGAAGUGUUAGGAACUGCGUUUAACCCUUUUGGAAUCAGAGGGGAAAAGGGAACUAGAGAGCUUAAUACCCCUGUUGCUUCCUGCUUGUGCUGUGACAACAAUUCAUCUUUCUGUUUACCAGUUGAGCUCAACCCUGCAUCCCAUCCCACCCUAUUCUGUUGA